UAAUGUAUACUUUAAGGUGUUUAUAAUAUACCAUAAAAAUUUCUAUAAACUAUAUUUUAACAUUAGACUUAUGUGUUUAGAGUACAGAAGUAACCUGAUGAAAAUUAUGAUAGUGACUUACAAGAUUUUAAUGAACAUCAAGAAUUAAAAAAGUCUUGUCUGCAGACACCUGUCUCUGUAUUAAACAAAAGUAAAACGAGAUUGGAAAAAGUGAUCAUAAUUACCUCUGUGAUUAAGGUGAAGGGAGUAGCAGCAAAAAGGGAAGUAGCAAAAAAAUUAAAUUGGACAGGGCAAGGUGAUCUUCAAAAAAAGUCUUUCCGAAUUCUUAAAUUUUGUCAAGUUAUUGAAAAAGCAAUACGAAGAAAUUUGCUGACAAAAGAUACCACACACAGUGAAAUUUAAAAGGCAGUUGUGGCUUUUUUUAUUAGAGCUCUAGACAGAAAUAGAGGCAGAAAAGAAAGAGCAGAAAAAAAGUCCAUCCAAAAAAUCAGUUCAACAAAAAAUCGUGGCUAUACUGGCCAAUCAUUGACAUUGAAACCUUUAUCUGGAUUAUCAUUACCACGAUAUGAAUGCUUUAUUUUUGAUGAAUCUGACAAAGUAUAAUGUUCUCAAAGUCUUGCAUGAUCUGUUUUAUAUGUUAUGUUUUAUAUUAAUUGUAUAUUUGACAUUAUUAUAAGCUUUACAAGUAUUUAUAUUAUUAAUGAUAAAUUUAAUGCAUUUAUUUUUUAUAUAUUUUUAAUGCAAAUUUAUUA